rnacentral:rRNA from 1 species
GCUGGCGGCAGGCCUAACACAUGCAAGUCGAGCGGUAACAUUUCUAGCUUGCUAGAAGAUGACGAGCGGCGGCGGGUGAGUAACGCGUAGAAAUCUACCUAGUAGUGGGGGAUAGCCCAGAGAAAUUUGGAUUAAUACCGCAUACGCCCUACGGGGGAAAGCCGGGGGAUCUUCGGACCUCGUGCUAUUAGAUGAGUCUGCGUCGGAUUAGCUUGUUGGUGAGGUAAUGGCUCACCAAGGCGACGAUCCGUAGCUGGUCUGAGAGGAUGACCAGCCACACUGGAACUGAGACACGGUCCAGACUCCUACGGGAGGCAGCAGUGGGGAAUAUUGCACAAUGGGCGCAAGCCUGAUGCAGCCAUGCCGCGUGUGUGAAGAAGGCCUUAGGGUUGUAAAGCACUUUCAGCAGUGAGGAAAGGGGUGUCGUUAAUAGCGCCAUCCUGUGACGUUAACUGCAGAAGAAGGACCGGCUAACUCCGUG